AGUGUCAUAGCUCAGUGGUGGGGCACCUGCCUUGCAUACAGAAGGUCCCAGGCUCAGUCCCUGGUGUUUCCA
rnacentral:tRNA from 1 species